rnacentral:rRNA from 1 species
GGAGGGGUGAGUAAUGUGUGGGAAACUGCCUGAUGGAGGGGGAUAACUACUGGAAACGGUAGCUAAUACCGCAUAACGUCGCAAGACCAAAGUGGGGGACCUUCGGGCCUCAUGCCAUCAGAUGUGCCCAGAUGGGAUUAGCUAGUAGGUGGGGUAACGGCUCACCUAGGCGACGAUCCCUAGCUGGUCUGAGAGGAUGACCAGCCACACUGGAACUGAGACACGGUCCAGACUCCUACGGGAGGCAGCAGUGGGGAAUAUUGCACAAUGGGCGCAAGCCUGAUGCAGCCAUGCCGCGUGUGUGAAGAAGGCCUUCGGGUUGUAAAGCACUUUCAGCGGGGAGGAAGGCGUUAAGGUUAAUAACCUCGUCGAUUGACGUUACCCGCAGAAGAAGCACCGGCUAACUCCGUGCCAGCAGCCGCGGUAAUACGGAGGGUGCAAGCGUUAAUCGGAAUUACUGGGCGUAAAGCGCACGCAGGCGGUCUGUCAAGUCGGAUGUGAAAUCCCCGGGCUCAACCUGGGAACUGCAUUCGAAACUGGCAGGCUAGAGUCUUGUAGAGGGGGGUAGAAUUCCAGGUGUAGCGGUGAAAUGCGUAGAGAUCUGGAGGAAUACCGGUGGCGAAGGCGGCCCCCUGGACAAAGACUGACGCUCAGGUGCGAAAGCGUGGGGAGCAAACAGGAUUAGAUACCCUGGUAGUCCACGCCGUAAACGAUGUCGAUUUGGAGGUUGUGCCCUUGAGGCGUGGCUUCCGGAGCUAACGCGUUAAAUCGACCGCCUGGGGAGUACGGCCGCAAGGUUAAAACUCAAAUGAAUUGACGGGGGCCCGCACAAGCGGUGGAGCAUGUGGUUUAAUUCGAUGCAACGCGAAGAACCUUACCUGGUCUUGACAUCCACAGAACUUAGCAGAGAUGCUUUGGUGCCUUCGGGAACUGUGAGACAGGUGCUGCAUGGCUGUCGUCAGCUCGUGUUGUGAAAUGUUGGGUUAAGUCCCGCAACGAGCGCAACCCUUAUCCUUUGUUGCCAGCGGUCCGGCCGGGAACUCAAAGGAGACUGCCAGUGAUAAACUGGAGAAAGGUGGGGAUGACGUCAAGUCAUCAUGGGCCCUACGACCAGGGCUACACACGUGCUACAAUGGCAUAUACAAAGAGAAGCGACCUCGCGAGAGCAAGCGCACCUCAUAAAGUAUGUCG